rnacentral:lncRNA from 1 species
GUUUUAAAACCCACUCACCCCAUCUGCUCAAAAGAGUGCCAGUGCUUCUGGUCCUUUCUAUCCCACCCUCUCAAAAACAAACAUUUCGUUUUGCUCAUCCCAAGGAUUCUGGAAGGCCCCUCAAAGGUGGUCAACGAAAGCAUGAUGAAGAUGAACGUACAGCCGUAAAUCAGUGUUUCCACCAAGUUGUUCCGAGAGUAAAACACAGCGUGCCCCCCCUCAUCUCUUCCCUGAGGAUGGGACCUUUCUAGCUAGUAAUCAUCAUCCCUUGAGUUUUGCAGGGAAGGGGGAGAGUCUAAACAAAAAUGUCUCCUCAGUGAGGUCAUAUUUUCAGAACAGGAAAGGCCAGGAGAAAGCAGGUCGCCCGAAAAGCAACCAACCACCUGCUGGGCUGUGAAACUGCAGGUAUGAUAGUGACUGCCUGCCAUUUUCAUUGCCAAGGCAUUAAGGAGUCCUUCAGAAGCCAAUUACCAGUAACAUGUCUCUGGUGGAGAAAAGUCCAGAUUUCUUUCUGUCCGUGUCAGAACCGUGGCGAUUAAACUGUGACUUGAGCAAGAAUAAUAAGGGCAGCCUCUAGGAAAAUGUCAUAGGUUGUCUCUUGUCUCAGGGCGCGGUGCUUAAACUGCAAUACUGCAGUCAAAACUCUUGCUCAAGACCAAGGUUCAGUCCCAGGUAGCCAGCUCGAAGUUGACUCAGCCCUCCAUCCUUCAAAGGUCUGUAAACUGAAUACCCAGCUCACUGGGGUGGGAAUGUAUAGCCUGCAUAAUUAAAAUGCAAACCACCAAAAUGCUACUUUAAAUGCUGUGGGAUGAUGGCAUAUAAGCAGCACCCUUUGCUUUGUUCUGUCCAUGCAGCCCUGUCCUGUCUUUCCUGAAUCCAGCGCAUCACUGCCAGAAUGGCGACCGUUGACGCCAGCUGGUGGGAUGAGACAGUUUGUAACAUGAUGGCUUGCCAGCACCCGCCCUGUUGGGAGACCAUGUGGAGGAUUGAAAACGGACAUCCUCGGAUCUUGCUAAGAACCCUUGAUUCACUUCGGAGACAAUCCCCAGAAUAUGAAGUUCUGAAAAGAACUCUU